CUGUGAAGUGGUGAGGCAUAUUAAUUAUAAAGUCGCUAACAAUGCAGGGGGAGAGUGGAGAGAAGUUAUUAAUAAAACAUUUCAUCCCAAACAGAAAGUUGACGUAAAAGAGUAUAUCUACACUGCUCAAAGUAAUAGAAGAGAGAAUAUAAGGGGAGCUCACAAAUUCGAGUUCAUUACCAAAAAUAGGUUUAAACCUCUGGAGGAUACAGAAGUGGAGAAAGUC